UAGGGAAUAUUGGUCAAUGGAUGCAAGUCUGAACCAGCCAUGCCGCGUGCAGGAAGAAGGCCUUCUGGGUUGUAAACUGCUUUUGCCAGGGGAUAAAAUGGGCGUGCGCGCUUAAUUGAAGGUACCUGGUGAAUAAGCCACGGCUAACUACGUGCCAGCAGCCGCGGUAAUACGUAGGUGGCAAGCGUUGUCCGGAUUUAUUGGGUUUAAAGGGUGCGUAGGCGGCGAUCUAAGUCAGUGCUGAAAUAUCCCGGCUUAACCGGGAGGGUGGCAUUGAUACUGGGUUGCUUGAGUAAAGUUGAGGUAGGCGGAAUUGACGGUGUAGCGGUGAAAUGCUUAGAUAUCGUCAAGAACACCAAUAGUGAAGACAGCUUACUAAACUUUAACUGACGCUGAGGCACGAAAGUGUGGGGAUCAAAC
rnacentral:rRNA from 1 species